rnacentral:lncRNA from 1 species
GUGUGAAAGAGACUUAUUACAUGUUUUGUUCGGCGUUGUGAAAGCCGUGGUGCGGCCAACCAACACUAGAAUAUGGAGCUUUUGAGUGAACGUAUGUUGGUGCCAUGGCUUCAUUGAUUUUCCAAACACGCGCUUAAAAAGUGACGGUUUCCUUGGCAAAUGUAGGUCGGAUCAUCAGUUAUAACCUGGAUUUCAUUGUAUCUUUUCAACUACAUGAUUUCUAUGCUGAUUUAACCUGAUCACCUAUAGGACAUAGUUGAUAUUGCUGUGCCUUCUAGAAUAUCUAUUGUAUUAGAAGUAAAAAAAAAAAGAGUGAAAUUAUCCUAAGCAGAACUGAUUUCAUACAAUCAAAGCUUUAUAUUCACUUGAGUAUGCCUUAUCAAGGUUUCUUUUCUUAUCCAAUCAUG